AUGGAGGAGAGCGUUGAUGUCAAGGCUCUGAGGGCCAAGUUCAACAACAAGACCAGCACCUCAGACACCAGCAGCCGGGACAGCGGCUCCCCGAAAUCUCCACGACCUGGGUUUGGGAGGGCAAUCCUGCCAGUGACCGAGAACAAUCUGGCUCUUCACAGACUGUCUCCUGUGGUUCCUCCUCCUCCGAUGGCUGGUCCAGGCCUGAUGAGGAUCCCGAGGGCCGAACCAAUGGCAGCCUCAAUCCCCCCAAGACCUGGUUCCUUCCCUCGACCGCCUCCCAAUCAUGGAGUCAGAGCACCCAUCCCGCCGGUAGACGCCACCAAGGUCAAGCAGACCGGGGAAAUGCUGCAGAACAUGAUGCUGCGGCACCAGAAGCCUCUAGGCAUCAAACCAUCCCAGAGUCCAGCUCUAGGUCAGUCCCCUGCACCAACUCCAACCUCUGCCCCUCUACCACUUCGACAGCAACCCCGACAGAGGAGCGCAGGGGAGGUGACCCCGCUGAGAAAGCCCCUGCCCCCUGAAGGACCCCUGCCUUUGAAACCCAAACGGCCUCCCAAUGUCAACCUGGAGCCAUUUCUGAGGUUCAGCCGAGUACCUGCUCUUCCUGGUCCAAGAAAGCGGGACGUUCUCCCAGCAGGUUCACCAGGUUCAGCAGGCAGAAAAAUGUCUUUACCUGCAGUAAUCAGUCCUCCGAAACCGCCACAACGAUCCAACAAACCCAGCAGACUUCCACGCCAAGUAGCCUCCGUGGACUUUGAUGAUCAGGACCAGGACACCUAUGAUGACAUUGCAAGCUUUGAGAAGAACGAGUCCCUGAGUGACAACAGUUCACAGUGUAUGGACGGGGUAAGAACAGAAAACUGA
rnacentral:lncRNA from 15 species